rnacentral:rRNA from 1 species
GACGAACGCUGACGGCGUGCUUAACACAUGCAAGUCGAAGGGAGUGGCGAACGGGUUAGUAACACGUGAGUAACCUGCCAUUUUAUUUGGGAUAAGCCUGGGAAACUGGGUCUAAUACUGGAUGGCUUGGGUUGGGCUAGCGGCUUAUCAGCUUGUUGGUGGGGUGAUGUCUUACCAAGGCUUUGACGGGUAGCCGGCCUGAGAGGGUGGUCGGUCACACUGGGACGUAGAUACGGCCCAGACUCCUACGGGAUGCAGCAGUGUGGGAUAUUGCACAAUGGACGAAAGUCUGAUGCAGCGACGUCGUGUGGGGGAUGAAGGCCUUCGGGUUGUAAACUCCUUUCGCCCGCUGAAUGGUAGUGGGUAAAGAAGCGCCGGCUAACUACGUGCCAGCAGCCGCGGUAAUUC